AUAAAAAGUUAGGUUCGUACCACCCCAGUCUGAUAACUGUGAUGAAAGGUAUUAUCUGAGUUGUG